rnacentral:lncRNA from 1 species
GACUUCUACUUACUUUGUAGCACCAUAAGUAAGGCAAAACAAAGUAGAUUGGAAAAAUAAAUGAUAUGAACAUCUUAAGAAGGAAGUUAAGAGUAAAUUUUAAAAAAAAUUACCUAGAAAAACUAGAUAUUGAUACCCAGAGAGGGCCAUUUAUGAAGUAAGGUUGAAAUCAGAUACUGAGGCACAAAACCGAGUUUUGACAAUGAUUCUGGAGUUCUUUUGGAGUUUGAAGAAUGAGAUUCAAUAGCAAACUAAAUAAGCUUUCUAUAAACGUUGAUUUUGGAUGAUUUGGAGUUAUUAUGACUUUGUAAUAGCUUUGCAAAGUCAAGGUUUGUUUUAGAUGACUUAGGUUUUAUAAAAUAAAAUAGGGUUUAUGUUUUGGAUGAUUUCAUGAAUUCUAUAGUAGAUCUAUAGGUAAAAAUUUGUAGGUUUAUGGUUAUAGUUGUUUUUGAUAUGUAUUAUAAAUUUGAGCUCAAUCUAAUGGUUGAAUUGAGGAAUAUUGAGGUUUAAGUAGGUCAAGGUCUCAAAAAGUAGAAUUUUAGGUCUAGUGAGUGUUUUUAAGAUUUUUUGUUAUCUACAAGUUGGAUUCAAGUAAAACUUAUGUGAGAGGAUAUAAGACUUGUUUUUCUAUAUAUAUAAAAAUUUGGAGAUCAAUCGAAUUGUGUAAAUGAGAGAUAAUGGCUCUGAAAGAUUGGCAACAAGAUUGGAGAAGGAGGCUAGCCAAUAUCCAAGCACAUUUUUGAAAUUAUCGUCAAUUUGGUAAUUCCGAUCAUUUUUAAUAAUUUUUUACUUAUUUUUAACUUAUUUCUUAAGAAGUGUACAAAAUUUGAGUUAAGAUUAAUAAUUUAUUCAUUAAUUAUUGAGGAUUAAAUCUAUUAUAGGAAUUACUAAGGUUUGAUUUAGGAUUUGGAAUUUGGAUUAGGAUUUAGUUUAUGGUUUGGUUCAGGAUUUAGGAUUUGAUUUAGGAUUUGGUUUAGGUUUUAGGAUUUGGAUUAAAGUUUGAUUUAAGAUUUAAGAUUUGGAUUAAGGUUUGGUUAGGGUUUGAUUUAGGAUUAAGGAUUUCGUUAGGAUUUGGUUUAGGAUUUGGUUUAGGUUUGGUUAGGGUGUAAGGUUUAAAUUAAGAUUUAGGAUUUUAUUUGGAUUUAAGAUUUAAUUAGUUUUGGCUAAAGUUUGAAUGAAAUUCAAUUAGAUUUUAACUAGAAUUAAAUUAAGAUUGAAUUGUGAUGUAUUUGAAUAAUAUUUGUAAUCAUUCUUUGAGGUUUUUGAAUUUGAUUAAGCUUGCUUAGCAUUAUUAUGGUCUAAUUAAAAUAUUAUUAGUAUUCUAUUAGAAUUAGGAUUUUUUAUUAUAAUUUCCAUUCUUCCUUCCACAUCCAAGUACCCAAAGCAUUCUCAAG